UAGGAAUGCAUAGUCCUUUUAAAGUCCAUAAAUUUGCCUCAGUGCCUUAGAAAUAACAAGGCUUCAGAGAGUUGGCAGCCAUCUUCUCUCCUGGCUGUUUCAGUUAGCAUACACACACACACACUCUCUCUCUUUUAAGUAAACCUGCUCAAACCAGUUCACCAGCAGCAUGGCAGAGAAAGUAACCAGAUUCCCAGCUCAGGUUCAGCCAAUCAGCUUCUUACACAUACUUUUCCAGUUAACCCAUUCAUCAUGGUGUUUUUAAAAUUACAACAACCACAACAUAAGGAGCAGAGCCAGGAGGAGGCGUGGCCUGAGGGGGCCUGGCACCUGGGCCGUUCCUGGGCCUCAUGGCUUGCCAGGAAGGAAGAGAAAGGAGAGAAGGAGGGAGGGAAGGAAGGAUCCAAGGGUCCCAGCCAAGGCCUGAGGCUGAGAGAGUGUGGCCCUCUUGGAAAAAAACCCUGGCACUUUUUACGAUCAAUCCCCUCAGUAUUGAUUAUCAUCGUGCUCGAGUUUGUAAUCCUGAGAGCAGAAGUGGAAGAGAGGAAACAUCAGCAAGGUGAACAUUAACUUUGGAUGCUCAGAUGGGAUUAACUUCCCUUUCCAGUAGAACAAUGCACCUUCAUCCAAGGACAGUGAGGUCUUCCACUCUUCCUCUUCAGAGGUGCUCCUGUUGUCCAACCAAUCCUCUGUGGGGGCCUAUCCAUGACUUACCUGGCUGAAGGUGAUCUCUGUUGUCCUGAGCCUCCCAAACCCCAAUCCCCUCCUCUUUGUAGAAGUAUAAUGCUCCUGCCUUUCACUCCAUAUCCAGGAUUCAUUGGUCUCCUCUUGAAAGGGGCCCUCACUUCUUGCAUCCAAGCACAGCUGCUGAGCUGAUCACAAAAGCGUUUAUUGCUCUGAAAUCAUCAUAAUGGUUAAGCUUUUUGGUGGGGUUGCUUUUCAUUAGUUAUGGCUGAAGGCAAAAUGAGUGUUUUGCCUGCAGUCUGAAACUUAGACAGAGAUGGAGUAUACCUUUAAGCAGAAAUGCUGUAAAAGAGAGAGAGACUUCCUCUGAAAUCCUGAUCCCUUAUAAUGCUCCUGCCUUUCCCACCCGACUCAAGUGUCUAAUGUGCUGUUCAUGGAGGAGGACUCUUGAGUUUCAACUGGAGCACUAGAGAAGAAGAGAAAACAGCAAAACAUAAGCAACAGAACCCUGUGCAACUAUGCUGAAAGAAAUCAAGUGCUACUACAGGAUGCUCACUAUUGCAGGAUUAUGCCUCCUUGCAAAUGACUUUUCCAAACAACUUUGGAAAAGUUCAGCCAGCAAGAGAUGUUUUCUUCUUCCCCCAUGAGUUUUGCAAUUACAACUAAGGCACUUUGGGUGCCUCUGCCAGGCUCUGGGGGCCCCAUGACUGACGCUGCCAUCCCUUUCUGCUUUCCAGUCCCACUUUACUUCGGGCAUCUUCCAAAUCCUGGAUUUCCAAUGACAUUGGCUCACUAAGAAACCAACAAAUAAUAUGUAAGAACAUAAAACCCAAAGAUUUCCAGCUCAACAAAAAGACCCAGCCCCCACCCAAAAAGUGAAAAGAAGUUAUAAUAAUAAUAAUAAUAAAACUUUAUUUAUACCCUGCUCCAUCUCCCGAAGGACUUGGGGCAGCUUACACUGGGACAAGCCCAAAAAGUAUUACAUCACUAAAAACAGUAACACAAUAAAAUCACAAUAUAAUAACACAUCUUACAAAAGUUAAAAUAACUUUAAACAUAGACAGUAAUCCCAAUCCUUGGUCAAGCACCAUAGGCCAUCGGCCAUUUUAAGGAAAAUGGAAAUCUGAAUGCUUGGGACUGCUGGCUCCAAAGUGUGUCUCCUUCCCUGGUCUGGGUUCACUGUGAAAGAAAGAGAAGAGCAAAGGGACUAUUAGGAAACUUCCUCUGAAAGCUUGAUCUCCCUUUCCCCUUUGUAGAACUACAGUAUUCCUGCCUUUUGCUCCUUACCCAGGAUUCAUAGAACUCCCCUCAAAUGGGACCCUCACUCCUUUCAACCUGGCCUGGCUGCAGAGCCAAUACCACCCAGAAAUGCUGUAAAAGAAAGAAAGGAAACUUUAUCUAUACUUCCUCUGGAAAGGGCUCCAGACAACAUGGCCUGGAUUUCCUUUCCUAGCACAGUUUAUGGGGCCCUGUGUCUCUGAUGUCUUUCUGCCUCUCCAGGGAAGUAGCCACUUUCCAUGGCCUUUCUGCCCCCCCUUGAUAGGGCUUGGAGGCCUCUGCCAGGCUCUGGGCUCCCCAUGACAGGCACAUCCCUCCCUGUUUUUCAGUCCCACCUCACCUUUGGCAUCCUCCAAAUCCUCAAUCUCCAGUGGUGGUGCUUCACUAAGAGAAACAAAAAAAUCAUAUGUAGCAACAUAACACCCAAAGACUCUGAGCCAAGAAAAGGCUCAACUCACAACCAAAAAGUAAAAAGAAAUUGCCUCAAUUCCUGGGACAGCUGUCUCCAAAGUGCGUCCAAACUGUCGUUGUCUCCUCCCCUGGCCAGGGUGCACUGUGAAAGAGAGAGAAGAGCAAAGUCACUAUGGAGAACCUUCCUCUGAAAACUUGACCUCCCUUUCCCCUUUGCAGGAAGACAGUACACUUGCAUUUCGCUCCUUACCCAGGAUUCAUAGGAUACUGUUUGAAUGGGGCCCUGCAUCCCGGCCCCACUGCGGAGCUGAUACCAUCCACAACUGCUGUGAAAGAAAGAGAGGAUACUUUGUUGCAAUCCUGAUCCCCUCUUCGCAGAAGUUCAUUUCUGCCUUUCCCUCCUUACCCAGGUGUCCAUUGCGGUGAUCUUACUGGAGGAGAAUGACUCCUAGUCGUCAACGAGGAAUAGAGAAGAAGAGAAAACAUCAAUACAUAGCAACAGAACCCUGUGUAGCUAUUUAGAAGGGGAUCAAGGGUUUUGACAGGAUGCUCAGUAAAGCACCAGUGAACAAAUGUCUUUUAUGAGGAAGAAAAAAACAACCAUAAAAGAAGGAAGGGUUUACCUUAUAGGAUACACUUUGAUCAUCCUCCUCCGCCAACAACAAGGGAAAACAUUCACACAGACCUUCCUGAGGUUCUGCACAGGAGAAAGGAGAACAAGCUCAGAGGAAGAAGGAGGAGUUGCCUUGAGAGAGGGAUUGUUUUAGGGCCAUUGCUCUUCCCAUGGUAGAUUGAAACCCAAUGUGCCAAAGAGCCAAGUAAUUACUUUGACGAGUUUUCUGAAGACCAUAUUUUUUCCAUAAUUGGUUACAGCUUAUUUGUAUUAUAUUGUUUAGAUAGGAGCAAAGUGUGUUAAAGCACUGAGCUGCUGAACUUGCAGACCGAAAGGUCGCAGGUUCAAAUCCCGGGAGCGAAGUGAGCACCCACUGUUAGCCCCAGCUCCUGCCAACCUAGCAGUUCGAAAACAUGCCAAUGUGAGUAGAUCAAUAGGUACCGCUCCGGUGGGAAGGUAACGGCGCUCCAUGCAGUCAUGCCGGCCACAUGACUUGGAGGUGUCUAUGGACAAUGCUGGCUCUUCGGCUUAGAAAUGGAAAUGAGCACCAACCCCCAGAGUCAGACAUGAGUGGACUUAACGUCAGGGGAAACCUUUACCUUUACCUUUAUUGUUUAGCUAUAAACAAGUUUUCUAAUUUAUUUUUUGGCUAGGGCUUGAAGGGCUCUGCCAGGCUCUGAGCUCCCCAUGGGCCCACCUUCUACCCCACCAGUGCCAAAGAGCCAAGACUUACUUUGAAAAGGCUUCUGAAUGUCAUCUUGGCAAGAUGAAACUCUUCCUUUCCAAGGCUGAGUCUGAGAAGAGAGAAGCAUGCUUCCACAUCUUCCAAGGGAAUGGGCAGCACUGAUCUUGUUUGGAACUGCAUUCGUAUGGUAAAAAAGGGGCACCAUGCUCCAGGGAAGUGAUAGCCCCUUUUUUUAAUCCAUACAAAUAGGGUAGUUGCCCAACCAAAUUUGAAGCCAAUGCCAACAAAUUGAAGAACAGUUAAAGAAAGAAGACUAAAUAAGAGUCCAACACAUUAUGCAUGCCCUGCAAAAUCAAGAGCUGAAGACCUCUUGGAAAAAGAUCUCCACCCACUUGUGGAAAAAUAUUAAAGGGAUUCCUGGAUCCCCUGUCUGGGAUGGGACUUUCAGAACCUGAGAAUAGCCAUUAAGAAGGCUUUCUCCCAAAUGGACCGAUCAGUUGCAAGUACAUAUUUAGUUAUAUUAAGCAAAAAUCAGUGGUAUGUCCAAUCUACAGUUGUCUCUGUUGGGCAGACUAACCAUUAUCCAUACUGGAAACUAAUCAUUCCAGUAUCACUCCUGGAGUCAAAAUUUGCAAAAUGGCAAAAAGAAAGAAAGAAAGAAAGAAAGAAAGAAAGAAAGAAAGAAAGAAAGAAAGAAAGAAAGAAAGAAAGAAAAUUUGGUAAAGGGGGCAUAUUUUUAGCCUUUAUAAAUACAGUAGAGUUUCACCUAUCUAAGCUAAAUGGGCCGGCAGAAGCUUGGAUAAGCGAAUAUCUUGGAUAAUAAGGAGGGAUUAAGGAAAAGCCUAUUAAACAUCAAAUUAGGUUAUGAUUUUACAAAUUAAGCACCAAAACUUCAUGUUAUACAACAAAUGUGACAAAAAAGUAGUUCAAUACGCGGUAAUGUUAUAUUGUAAUUACUGUAUUUACGAAUUUAGCACCAAAAUAUCACGAUAUAUUGAAAACAUUGACUACAAAAAUGUCUUGGAUUAUCCAGAGGCUUGGAUAAGCAAGGCUUGGAUAAGUGAGACUCUACUAUAGUAUGAAGUAUAGUCAUAUAUCAUGGGAUGGUUGAACUCGUCCCACUUAAAAACAGUAUUAUGAUAACUUUCAAUUGGUCCCAAAGGUUUAUUUCAUAAAGCCAAAAACCAUUCAGAGAAGAAAUGUUAUAUAGUUGUUUUACGUAUCAGAAAAAUUAGCAGCACGACCACCACCCCUUUAUUAUUUCUGAGAAAUCACUCUUUUUAAACCAAAAAACUAAUAUAUUCGAUCUUGUGGAUGGGAAAAGAAAGGAAAGAGGAAGCUGAAGUUUUAACUAUCUUUUAGCUAAAGAUAGGUCUCUGAAUCAAUGCCUAGAGGAUAUAAUGGGCCGGAUGAGAAAAAGCAAAUUGAAAUUGAAUCAAGACCAGGCAAAGGGACUGGCCAUCAAGGGCCUAGGGAUGGAGGUGCAUCUGUCAUUUCUGGAUAGGGUUACACUCGCCCUGAAAUACUGUUUGCAGCUUGGGGCGGGAGGCGAGAGGGGGUUCUCCUCAAUCUGUCUCUCAAUAGGUAAGCCUAUGUAGACAUGUGAUAGUCAGGUGUGUUUAGUAUCAGCUAUGGCUGAUACGCCAGUUGUGCCCUUCCAAGAAUUGCAGGACUUUAAGAUGGUGAUGCACACAUUGUAAGGUCAAGAUUGUACUCCUGCAAUGCACUUUCCAUUGGGCUACCUCUGUACCAAGUUUGGAAAUUCCAAUUAGUUCAAAACAAGGUGGCAAGACUAAUUAUAGGAACAUCUAGGAAUAAGCUAUAUUGAAAUCAUUCCACUGGUUGCCUAUCUUUUUCAGCAAGCCUACCCAGUCUGUUUCAACAAUGGCUUUUACAUUAUGUUCUAUGUUUAUCAUGUUUUAACUUCUAUCUCUUGUAUUUUAAUAUGUUUAUGUUUUAAAAUAAGCUUUUAUGGUUGCAUUUAAACUAUGUUUUAAUAUGUGAUUUUAUUGACAUAUUUAACUAUGUUGUGAGUCGAAUGGGGGAGGCGGGCAAUAAAUAAAAUAUUACGAUUUUUA